UACGGGGGGGGCAAGCGUUGUUCGGAAUUAUUGGGCGUAAAGAGCUCGUAGGCGGUCUGUCGCGUCGGCUGUGAAAACUCGGGGCUCAACCCCGAGCCUGCAGUCGAUACGGGCAGACUAGAGUGCAGUAGGGGAGACUGGAAUUCCUGGUGUAGCGGUGAAAUGCGCAGAUAUCAGGAGGAACACCGGUGGCGAAGGCGGGUCUCUGGGCUGUAACUGACGCUGAGGAGCGAAAGCGUGGGGAGCGAACAGG
rnacentral:rRNA from 1 species